rnacentral:misc_RNA from 1 species
UCAAACUUGGUCAUUUAGAGGAAGUAAAAGUCGUAACAAGGUUUCCGUAGGUGAACCUGCGGAAGGAUCAUUAACGAAUAUCAGAGGGUCAAGGAUGCUGCUGGCUGAACAAGCAUUGUGCACUCCUCGAUCUUUGUCCUUUCUCUCACACCCUGUGCACCUAUUGUAGGUUCAAACGAACCUAUGUUUUCAUUUUACUCUGAUGCAUGUAUUUGUGAAUGUAUUGUAUUUGUCUGGUAACAGAGUACAACUUUCAACAAUGGAUCUCUUGGCUCUCGCAUCGAUGAAGAACGCAGC